AGAGUUUGAUCMUGGCUCAGAACGAACGCUGGCGGCGUGUCUUAAGCAUGCAAGUCGAGCGGCAAGSGUAGCAAUACSCCUAGAGCGGCGGACUGGUGAGUAACGCGUGGGUGAUCUGCCUUUGGGAUGGGGAUAGCCAUUAGAAAUAGUGGGUAAUACCGAAUACGCUUGCAAGACUGCGGUCUUGUAAGGAAAGGCGCUACGGCGCCACCCGAAGAUGAGCCUGCGUCAGAUUAGCUAGUUGGUGAGGUAACGGCCCACCAAGGCGAUGAUCUGUAGGCGGCCUGAGAGGGUGUACGCCCACAUUGGGACUGAGAUACGGCCCAAACUCCUACGGGAGGCAGCAGCUAAGAAUAUUCCGCAAUGGACGAAAGUCUGACGGAGCGACGCCGCGUGGAUGWGGAAGGCCGAAAGGUUGUAAAAUCCUUUUGUCGGUGAAGAAUAAGCCUGGGAGGGAAUGCCCGGGUGAUGACGUUAACCGGCGAAUAAGYCCCGGCUAACUACGUGCCAGCAGCCGCGGUAACACGUAGGGGGCGAGCGUUGUUCGGAUUUACUGGGCGUAAAGGGCACGUAGGCGGUUCUGUAAGCCUGACGUGAAAGGCUAUGGCUCAACCAUGGCACUGCGUUGGGAACUGCGGGACUUGAAUCAUGGAGAGGGAGCUGGAAUUCCAGGUGUAGGGGUGAAAUCUGUAGAUAUCUGGRAGAACACCAAUGGCGAAGGCAAGCUCCUGGCCACUGAUUGACGCUGAGGUGCGAAAGYGUGGGKAKCAAACAGGAUUAGAUACCCUGGUAGUCC
rnacentral:rRNA from 1 species